rnacentral:rRNA from 1 species
UACGUAGGUCCCGAGCGUUGUCCGGAUUUAUUGGGCGUAAAGCGAGCGCAGGUGGUUUAUUAAGUCUGGUGUAAAAGGCAGUGGCUCAACCAUUGUAUGCAUUGGAAACUGGUAGACUUGAGUGCAGGAGAGGAGAGUGGAAUUCCAUGUGUAGCGGUGAAAUGCGUAGAUAUGGAGGAACACCGGUGGCGAAAGCGGCUCUCUGGCCUGUAACUGACACUGAGGCUCGAAAGCGUGGGGAGCAAACAGG